rnacentral:rRNA from 1 species
UAGGGAAUAUUGCACAAUGGAGGAAACUCUGAUGCAGCGACGCCGCGUGAGCGAUGAAGGCCUUCGGGUCGUAAAGCUCUGUUGCAGGGGAAUAAGACAGUGAAUGUACCCUGUGAGGAAGGAUCGGCUAACUUCGUGCCAGCAGCCGCGGUAAGACGAGGGAUCCAAGCGUUGUUCGGAAUCAUUGGGCGUAAAGCGGGCGUAGGUGGCUCUAAAAGUUAGAUGUGAAAUCCCAAGGCUCAACCUUGGACCUGCAUUUAAUACUGUAGAGCUUGAGUGCGAGAGAGGCUGUUAGAAUUCCUGGUGUAGUGGUGAAAUACGUAGAUAUCAGGAGGAAUACCGGUGGCGAAGGCGGACAGCUGGCUCGACACUGACACUCAUGCCCGAAAGCGUGGGGAUC